AAAAGAUAAAUUAAAAGACUUCAGGCCAACUCAUGUUUCCAAACUUCUGCAAUAAGAGAACUCAAUGAUUUGGAACUGGCCAACUCUUCUGCAGAAUUAACAGACUUCUGAGCAUGCUGGACCAUACUCAUUCUGCUGAAUUAACUAGCUGAGAUAAAAUAUAGAUUGUUGUCACCUUCAUGAUUAUCACUUAUACAAUCUUUAAGUAAAAAAAUGAUAUCUUUGCUAGUGGAAAUCCUAUUUCCGUCGUCCUUUCUGCAAGGGUAUAAUGUCUUCUCAGCUGUCAUCUUUGCUUUUUCUGGUGGUGGGAAUCUCAAUGGCCCUCGCACCUUGGCUAGCUGCUAGAGGCCAGUUAAUUGCCAAUCGUUUUGAGCAGCAUCAUGUUCGAAUAUUUACCCGCUGAGAGUGAGGAGGUAGGGUGACAUCCAAAAGUUUUAAGAGGGCAGCUUCCUUAAUUUAUGAGGUUCGCUACUGGGAGUCAUCAGCCAGUCAUGACUGGGAGGUUAUGUCACCGUCCACAAAUCUUUUUUUUGAUUUGGCACGGGGAAUCCAGAACUUCGCUUCCACUAAUCCCGAGGGUACACAGGCCCUCGGCAAGGAGUUUUCCGCAAGUGCACCCCGGUUAAUUUAAUGUAGGUCCACAAAUCUAUGUGAUUUAAGAUAUAUUAACUUUA